UGGGGAAUCUUCCGCAAUGGACGAAAGUCUGACGGAGCAACGCCGCGUGAGUGAAGACGGCCUUCGGGUUGUAAAGCUCUGUGAUUCGGGACGAAAGGCCAUAUGUGAAUAAUAUAUGGAAAUGACGGUACCGAAAAAGCAAGCCCCGGCUAACUACGUGCCAGCAGCCGCGGUAAUACGUAGGGGGCGAGCGUUGUCCGGAAUUACUGGGCGUAAAGGGUUCGCAGGCGGCAUGACAAGUCCGAUGUAAAAGGCGAAAGCUCAACUUUCGUAAGCAUAGGAAACUGGCAAGCUUGAGUGAAGGAGAGGCAAGUGGAAUUCCUAGUGUAGCGGUGGAAUGCAUAGAUAUUAGGGGGAAUACCGAUGGCGAAGGCGACUUGCUGGACUUCAACUGACGCUGAGGAACGAAAGCGUGGGUAGCAAACAGG
rnacentral:rRNA from 1 species